UGCCAGCCGCCGCGGUAAUACGGAGGGGGUUAGCGUUGUUCGGAAUUACUGGGCGUAAAGCGUACGUAGGCGGAUUAAUAAGUUAGAGGUGAAAUCCCAGGGCUCAACCCUGGAACUGCCUUUAAAACUGUUAGUCUUGAGAUCGAGAGAGGUGAGUGGAAUUCCAAGUGUAGAGGUGAAAUUCGUAGAUAUUUGGAGGAACACCAGUGGCGAAGGCGGCUCACUGGACCGUGAUCGACGCUGAGGAGCGAAAGCUAGGGGAGCGAACAGGAUUCGAUA
rnacentral:rRNA from 1 species